CACGUAGUUAGCCGGGGCUUCUUAGUCAGGUACUGUCACUUUCUUCCCUGCUGAUAGAGCUUUACAUACCGAGAUACUUCAUCGCUCACGCGGCGUCGCUGCAUCAGGGUUUCCCCCAUUGUGCAAUAUUCCCCACUGCUGCCUCCCGCAGGAGUCUGGGCCGUGUCUCAGUCCCAAUGUCGGCCGGCCGCCCUCUCAGGCCGGCUACUGAUCGUCGCCUUGGUCGGGCCGUUACCCCGCCAACGAGCUAAUCAGACGCGGGCCCAUCCCAUACCACCGGACGUUUUCCCCAGGAAGCUAUGCAGCCUCCUGGCGUAUGCGUAUAGCAGCCGUUCGGCUGUUACUCCCCGGUAUCGGGCAGGUUCGCCCACGCGUUACCUCGACCCGUCCCGCCUACUCAGACAACUUCCGUUCCCUCCCGAAGGGACUCCC
rnacentral:rRNA from 1 species